GAGAGAGAGCGAGUGGAAAAGCCUUGUCCGUUUUUCCGCGCUGAGUGUGUGUGUGUGUGUGUCCCUAUCCAUGUCUUUCGAACAGUUUAAAGUACGCAUUGCGAUGCCAUUUGGCUUCAGUUUAGCUAGAGACAUCGUCGUGUUUUGAGCGGCUGACACAUAUUUUCCGAGCCCAGCGGAUCGAGCGGACUCCGCCACACUAGUUUUCAAUUCAGUGCGCAAAAUAAGGCAUAAAGAAAAACAGCAAAAGUAGGCGAGAUAAAAAGGAGACAACGGCACAAAUUCCCCAUUUUAUUUGCAGUUUUGAAAGUUGGUAAAUCGCAGAAUCGGAGAAGUUCUAAACAAACAACAAACAUAAACAGUGACAUGUAGUGAGCGGCCGAGUGCAGCAUUUUCAGUGCACAAAAAGUUCAAACACAGCCGGAGCCGAAGAACAAAAGCCGAGCAGCCGGAGCGGGCGCUGCAAAAGUGCAACAGCUGCACAGGAAACCGAACUGAAACCCCAGCCCGAACACGUCCAUAAACAGAUUCAGAUUCGAGCCAAGUUC